rnacentral:rRNA from 1 species
UAGGGAAUCUUCGGCAAUGGACGAAAGUCUGACCGAGCAACGCCGCGUGAGUGAAGAAGGUUUUCGGAUCGUAAAACUCUGUUGGUAGAGAAGAACGUUGGUGAGAGUGGAAAGCUCAUCAAGUGACGGUAACUACCCAGAAAGGGACGGCUAACUACGUGCCAGCAGCCGCGGUAAUACGUAGGUCCCGAGCGUUGUCCGGAUUUAUUGGGCGUAAAGCGAGCGCAGGUGGUUUAUUAAGUCUGGUGUAAAAGGCAGUGGCUCAACCAUUGUAUGCAUUGGAAACUGGUAGACUUGAGUGCAGGAGAGGAGAGUGGAAUUCCAUGUGUAGCGGUGAAAUGCGUAGAUAUAUGGAGGAACACCGGUGGCGAAAGCGGCUCUCUGGCCUGUAACUGACACUGAGGCUCGAAAGCGUGGGGAGCAAACAGGAUUAGAUACCCUGGUAGUCCACGCCGUAAACGAUGAGUGCUAGAUGUAGGGGAGCUAUAAGUUCUCUGUAUCGCAGCUAACGCAAUAAGCACUCCGCCUGGGGAGUACGACCGCAAGGUUGAAAC